UAUUGCUCUCAGAGCACUUAAAAUAGCAUGCAAAAGUUUUAUAUGCGAAUCCACGUACAAUACUGUAUCAGAUUAAUAUGCAAAAAUACAUCUACAAAGUAUACUGUACUUAACAGAAAAACUAAACAAUGUAAAUUCUAAUAGCAUUGCCAUGCACAAAACAGGAUACAGAAGUUCAUGGAUACAAAGAAAUGAUAAAAGAUACAUAUUUUAAGAUAUCGUCAAGCAUACUUACAGACAGUCAGGGACAAUAGAGUUGAAUAGAGGGCGCACUUGCUAAAAAGCCUGUUUUAGCAUGGCAAAGCCAUUGAAUACACCAUUUCAAUUGGUAUACCGACUGUUAUUAAACUUAUGGAAGUUGAAGAAGAAUGCAUUAACAACUUUAAAAUGUAAAUAGCCCUCAAUGGCGCUGCUCAUUCUGUCACAGAAGACAUCUUGACAAAGAUGCCAAGAUAUACCCUCUAUCCAACUCUAUGUCAGUAACUAAGACAUUUAUGCAGAGAGGGCUUCAUUCCACAGUCACACAGACAGUGUUCAAGAGCAUCAAAACUGUGAUGUAUGAUGGGUAAAUUGUGACUGACUGGUCUAUUAAUAACAUUGAGUAGUUAUUUAUCAUGCAAGAUGAUUUGUAGAUCUUGACUCGCCUAUAAAGUUGGCUGCAAUGUCGAACACUCCGACAUUUACAUAACAUUAUAGCAUUUGUAACAAAAAUCCCAUUCAAGUCAUGGGACCGAUAAUAAUAUUUCACAUAUUAAGUGACUUUGUUGAGCUUCACAAUGCAUUUUUUAUUUUUGAAUGAUUUCAACAUUUUUUGCGAGAAAUGCCUCUCUACUUGAAUGGGAUUUGUGCCACGGAUGCUAAAACGUUAGCAAGUUGAAACAGUGCCAGGGGAAACUUAACCAAAGCAUGGACUGCUGUCACACCAUGUUCAUAGACUGGUAAAAGGGUAAGGAAACCAAUGUGUCAUUUUGUAAUUUGGGUGAACCUUCAAGAUAUUAUAACAAUAUAUUAGCAAGAGAAUAGAGGUGUAACGACUAGCUUUGCUUUGGAGCCAUAGCUCUUCAGUCCAUGUUCUGUGGUGGUUCUCUUCAGUUCAUGUUCUGUGAUGGUUCUCUUUAGCCCAUGUUCUGUGGUGGUUCACUUCCAUCCAUGUUCUGUGGUGGUUCUCUUUAGUCCAGGUUCUGUGGUGGUUCUCUUUAGUCCAGGUUCUGUGGUGAUUCUCUUCAGUCCAUGUUCUGUGGUGGUUCUCUUCAGUCCAUGUUCUGUGAUGGUUCUCUUUAGUCCAGGUUCUGUGGUGGUUCUCUUCAGUCCAGGUUCUGUGAUGGUUCUCAUCAGUCCAAGUUCUGUGGUGGUUCUCUUCAGUCCAGGUUCUGUGGUGGUUGUCUUCAGUCCAGGUUCUGUGGUGGUUCUCUUUAGUCCAGGUUCUGUGGUGGUUCUAUCAGUCCAGGUUCUGUGGUGGUUCUAUCAGUCCAGGUUCUGUGGUGGUUUUCUUCAGUCCAGGUUCUGUGGUGGUUCUCUUCAGUCCAGGUUCUGUGGUGGUUCUAUCAGUCCAGGUUCUGUGGUGGUUGUCUUCAGUCCAGGUUCUGUGGUGG
rnacentral:lncRNA from 1 species